rnacentral:rRNA from 1 species
UACAGAGGUGCCAAGCGUUGUUCGGAUUUAUUGGGCGUAAAGGGUGCGUAGGCGGUCGGGUAAGUCUGAUGUGAAAUCUCACAGCUUAACUGUGAAACUGCAUUGGAUACUAUUCGGCUUGAGAGUUGGAGGGGGGACUGGAAUUCUUGGUGUAGCAGUGAAAUGCGUAGAUAUCAAGAGGAACACCAGUGGCGAAGGCGAGUCCCUGGACAACUUCUGACGCUGAGGCACGAAAGCUAGGGGAGCAAACAGG